ensembl:lncRNA
CGCGGAAAAGGGCGCGGGGAGGUGCACGCGCUGCUGUGCUCUGAGGGGCCGGGGACCGCAGCGCUCCUCACGGGGCUCUGGGGCUGCCGGUGGCGGCGCGCUCGUCCUUCCUGGCCUCGGGAGAGAUCGCUUCCAGGAAUUGAGGGGCUGCGGAGGCAGGAAAUCCUGCGGGGCCCCGUGCAGGGAGCGGCCGCAACGGCAUCACCUCCGCGCGCGGGAGGGUGGGGUCCCAGCCGCCUCCUUCCCGCUCCGUGUGAGCAUCCGCACGAUGAAAUGUGGAACUUGACUGUGAGAUGAAGGGUUUCCCCAAACAGAACUUUGAUCCUGAAUCGUAGCUAAAAAACAACGUUAAACCCGUUUUCUGCCCCGGGUGCUUCCCAUUUACGCUGUCCUCCGGGUGUCUGACCUCUCUAUCAACGAUACACUAACAGAAGUCUUUAGAGAGAACAAUAGCGGGAUGCCGUCAGCAGCAUGGAGACAUUAAUGAACAAAACAGAGUAAAUUAUGUCCCCCAGAAGCUGUGGGUCCUCUCCUCCAACCUGUCCACAAGAGUUCAGUAAUGUGAAUAGUUCUUAUGCAGCUGUAAUGUGAGAUGAUGCUUGUAUAUGGUGUUAAACCACAUCCAUAAAAUCUCCACUGAUAAUAGUCUUUCCAGAAGCAGCCUUCAGAGCAUUCAAUUGGUGAAGUCAUUAUGGUUUGGAACCGGGAAACUGAGGCAGCACUUUGCAGUCCUUUCAUAUAAAAUUGCAAGCAAAAUCACAGAGGCAUCAUUAAAAAUUACAAAACAUAAUUGCUGUUUAUUCUUUGUGUUGCCUGAGAGCUACAGUGACAAACAGAGCUCUGCUUGUGUCUGUGCAAACACUGUGUGAUCUUACAAACAUGUUUUGAAUGCAUUAUGUACAAUGAUUUGGUUCAAGGACAAUUUAAAACUUUCACCAGCUUCUUCAGCAGGCUUGACUAAAGGUUCCCUGACCUCCCUGGGAUAGCUAAGAUUGCAAAGAUGUUCAGAAAUUAUAUGUAAAAUGACAAAAACUGUCUCAUGUGCAGUUUCCAAAGGGUACUAUAUAAUGUCUCGCUUGGACAGAAUAGAGUGCCGCUGCUGGGCCUGUCUGACCCCCAGUUUCUGCUGGCAACAAGCCCAGAUAAACGUCCCGGGGGAGAGCCACCAUCCGGGGUUUCCAGGCAGUCUCCAGCCAGGGGUAACCCUUAGGAGCACAGGCAGAGGCCUUUGGUGACCAGCUCUUUUAGAAGGUGAUUUCUGCUCUGUGAUCAGCUCAGUUCAGCCCAGCCAGGUCCCUUCAGGAGUUACCCCAGGUGACGCUGACAAGAGAUAGGAAGACCAUGUGGCAUUCCACAGAAAGUCUUUAAUGCAGGCUUCAGCGAAGGGGGCCAGUGAUGAUCUAACCACUGAUCUGGGCAAAAGCUGGGUUUUUUAUGGGGAAGGGGAGAAUUGGGAAGGGGACCAAUGGUCUGAGAUGGGGAUAAGAUGACCAAUAGUUAACAGGGAGAUAACAUGUGUCCUGAGGCAGAAAGGGGUCCACAGCUCAGUCACCAUGACUAGGCAGUUUUAUCUUAUCUUAGGGGACAGAUCUCCAGGGAGGAUGCCUGUCAUACUGGGCUUCCUCCACAAUAGAGUUUGGAUUCAAUACACUGCCAGUCUUUGAGAGGGCUCAGAUUGAUGCCCAAAAUGUCUCUUCAUGCAGAGGGACCUUCUGUAAAUAGUAAAAAAUAUUUACCUCCUACAGCAAUUGGUGGACUUUCCUAAUAAAAGAAAGGAAGAGUUAAAAUAUUAAUAUUUA